rnacentral:rRNA from 1 species
AGUGGCAGACGGGUGAGUAACAUGUAGGUAUCUACCCUAUGGUUUGGAAUAACACGAGGAAACUUGUGCUAAUACCGAAUAAGUCUUUACGGAGAAAGCUUUAUGCGCCAUUGGAUGAGCCUGCACUUGAUUAGUUUGUUGGUGGGGUAAUGGCCUACCAAGACAAUGAUCAAUAGCUGAUUUGAGAGGAUGAUCAGCCACAUUGGGACUGAGACACGGCCCAAACUCCUACGGGAGGCAGCAGUGGGGAAUCUUGCACAAUGGGGGAAACCCUGAUGCAGCGAUGCCGCGUGAGUGAAGAAGGCCUUUGGGUUGUAAAGCUCUUUCGUCGGGGAAGAAAAUGACUGUACCCGAAUAAGAAGGUCCGGCUAACUUCGUGCCAGCAGCCGCGGUAAUACGAAGGGACCUAGCGUAGUUCGGAAUUACUGGGCUUAAAGAGUUCGUAGGUGGUUAAAAAAGUUGGUGGUGAAAUCCCAGAGCUUAACUCUGGAACUGCCAUCAAAACUUUUUAGCUAGAGUAUGAUAGAGGAAAGUAGAAUUUCUAGUGUAGAGGUGAAAUUCGUAGAUAUUAGAAAGAAUACCAAUUGCGAAGGCAGCUUUCUGGAUCAUUACUGACACUGAGGAACGAAAGCAUGGGUAGCGAAGAGGAUUAGAUACCCUCGUAGUCCAUGCCGUAAACGAUGUGUGUUAGACGUUGGAAAUUUAUUUUCAGUGUCGCAGCGAAAGCGAGUAAACACACCGCCUGGG